UACGUAGGGUGCAAGCGUUGUCCGGAAUUAUUGGGCGUAAAGAGCUCGUAGGCGGUCUGUUGCGUCGGCUGUGAAAACCCGGGGCUCAACUCCGGGCCUGCAGCCGAUACGGGCAGACUAGAGUUCGGCAGGGGAGACUGGAAUUCCUGGUGUAGCGGUGAAAUGCGCAGAUAUCAGGAGGAACACCGGUGGCGAAGGCGGCUCUCUGGGACGGUACUGACGCUGAGACGCGAAAGCGUGGGGAGCGAACAGG
rnacentral:rRNA from 1 species